rnacentral:rRNA from 1 species
GAUGAACGCUGGCGGCGUGCCUAAUACAUGCAAGUCGAGCGAACAGACGAGGAGCUUGCUCCUCUGACGUUAGCGGCGGACGGGUGAGUAACACGUGGAUAACCUACCUAUAAGACUGGGAUAACUUCGGGAAACCGGAGCUAAUACCGGAUAAUAUAUUGAACCGCAUGGUUCAAUAGUGAAAGACGGUUUUGCUGUCACUUAUAGAUGGAUCCGCGCCGCAUUAGCUGUUGGUAAGGUAACGGCUUACCAAGGCAACGAUGCGUAGCCGACCUGAGAGGGUGAUCGGCCACACUGGAACUGAGACACGGUCCAGACUCCUACGGGAGGCAGCAGUAGGGAAUCUUCCGCAAUGGGCGAAAGCCUGACGGAGCAACGCCGCGUGAGUGAUGAAGGUCUUCGGAUCGUAAAACUCUGUUAUUAGGGAAGAACAAAUGUGUAAGUAACUAUGCACGUCUUGACGGUACCUAAUCAGAAAGCCACGGCUAACUACGUG